rnacentral:lncRNA from 1 species
GCCCGUGCCUCUUCCUCCACACUUUCCCGCAAGCUGAGGGAGCCGGCUCCCGCCUUGGCCAGCCCGGAAAGGGGCUCCCACGGUGCAGCGGUGGGCUGAAGGGCUCCUCAAGCACGGCCAGAGUGGGCGCCAAGGCCGAGGAGGCCCCGAGAGCGAGCGAGGGCUGCCAGUAUGCUGUCACCUCUCAUUAUUAUUUGCCGAUGGGAGUGGAGAAGGAGACUUGGUGAUAACAGGACUGAAAACCUUGUGUAGCAAAAAUUAGUCAUGGGACUUUAAAGGAGACUCUCUUUUUGGAGAAUACUAUACAGAAGAUGAUAUGAGGGAUUGAGGAGUCUGACAGCAUAAAACUCUGAUUAUCUUGCAGCCUACAGUCCAUAUGCUUCAGUCUAUUGUGUCUUGAUCUAAGAAGAGAUGCAGAACAGAUGCUAAGAAGACUUAGACGCAAUGAGCCCCAGAAACAAAGUGCCUUUCACCUCCUGCCGUCAUUCUGAGGCCUCUUCAGCUGUGUGGAACUGUAAGUGCAAUGAAAUCUCUUUUUCUUCCCAGUUUCGGGUAUAUCUUCAUCAGCACUAUGAUAAUGGACUAAUACAGUAAAUUGGUACAAGUAGAGUGGGGCAUUGCCGAAAAGAUACCCAAAAAUGUAGAAGCAACUUUGGAACUGGGUAUCAGACAGAGGUUGGAACAGUUUGGAGGGCUCAGAAGAAGACAGGAAAAUGUGGGAAAGUUUGGAACCUCCUAGAGACUUGUUGAAUGGCUUUGACAAAAAUGCUGAUUGUGAUAUGAACAGUGGGUCCAGGCUGAGAUGGUCUCAGAUAGAGAUGAGGAACCUGCUGGGAACUGGAGCAAAGAUGACCCUUGUUAUGUUUUAGCAAAGAGACUGGUGGCAUUUUGCCCUUGCCCUAGAAAUUUGUGGAGCUUUGAACUUGAGAGAGAUCAUUUAGGGUAUCUGGCAGAAGAAAUUUCUAAGCAGCAAAGCAUUCAAAAGGUGACUUGGAUGCUGUUAAAAGCAUUUCAUUUUAAAAGGGAAACAGAGCAUAAAAUUUCAGAGAAUUUGUAGCCUGAUGAUGCAGUAGAAAAGAAAACCCAUUUUUUAAGAAGAAAUUCAAGCUGGCUGCAAAAAUUUGCAUAAGUAACAAGGAGCCAAAGUUAAUCCCUGACAAUGGGGAAAAUGUCUGCAGGGAAUGCCAGAGGUCUUCAUGGUAGCCCCUCCCAUCACAAAUCCAGAAGCAUAGGAGGAAAAAAUGGUUUUGUGGGCCAACCCCAGGGUCCUCAUGCUGUGUGCAGCCUAGGGACUUAGUGCCCUGUGACCCAGCCACUCCAGCCAUUGCUAAAAGGGGCCAAGGUACAGCUCGGCCCACGGUUUCAGAGGGUGCAAGCCCCAACCCUUGGCAGCUUCCACGUAUUGUUGAGCCUGCGGGUACACAGAAAUCAAGAAUUGAGGUUUGGGAACCUUCAUCUAGAUUUCAGAAGAUGUUUGGAAAUGCCUGGAUGCCCAGGCAAAAGUUUGCUGCAGGAUCGGGGCCCUCAUGGAGAACCUCUGCUAGGGCAGUACAGAAGGGAACUCUGGGUUUGGAGCCCCCAUACAGAGUCCCUACUAGGGCACCACCUAGGGGAGCGCUGACAAGAAGGCCACUGUCCUCCAGACCCCAGAAUGGUGGAUCCACUGACAGCUUGCACCAUGCGCCUGGAAAAGCCACAGAGACUCAAUGCCAGCCUGUGAAAACAGCCAGGAGGGGGGCUAUGCUCUGCAAAUCCACAGGGGCGAAGCUGCCCAAGACUAUGGGAACCUAUCUCUUGCAUCAGGGUGACCUGGAUGUGAGACAUGGCAUCAAAAGAGAUCACUUUGGAGCUUUAGAAUUUUACUGCCCUGCUGGAUUUUGAACUUGCGUGGACCCUGUAUCCCCUUUGUAUUGGUCAAAUUCUCCCAUUUGGAAUGGCUGUAUUUACCCAAUACCUGUACCUCCGUUGCAUCUAGGAAGUAAGUAGCUUUCUUUUGAUAUUACAGGCUCAUAGGCAGAAGGGACUUGCCUUGUCUCAGAUGAGACUUUGGACUGUGGACUUUUGGGUUAAUGCUGAAAUGAGUUUAAGACUUUGGGAGACUGUUGGGAAGGCAUGACUGGUUUUGAAAUGUGAAGACAUGAGAUUUAGAGGGGUCAGGGUGGAAUUAUAUGGUGUGGCUCUGUGUCCCCACCCAAAUUUCAUCUUGAAUCAUACUCUCAUCAUUCCCACAUGUUGUGGGAGGGAUCCAGUGGGAGAUAAUUUGAAUCAUGGGGGCGGUUUCCCCCGUACUGUUCUCAUGGUAGUGAAUAAGUCUCAUGAGAUCUGAUGAUUUUAUCAGUAGUUUCCACUUUUGCAUCUCUCCCAUUUUUUCUCUUGUCAUCGCCAUGCAAGAAGUGCCUUUCACCUCCCGCAAUGAUUCUGAGGCCUCCUCAACCGUGUGGAACU